UUGUUGUAUGAGAUGAUGAACGUGUGUCCUCCAUUUCGUGAUAUAAAGGAAAUCAUGGAAGCCGAAGUUAGGUUUGCAAACCCACAUUUAUCCAAAGAAUGCCGUGAUGUGAUUGUCCAGUGCCUAGCCCGUGACCCUACUGAAAGGCCGACCUUGGAGCAGCUCUUGCAGCAUGACUGGUUUAAAACAAAAAAAUGAAGGGAGGAUUGAGUCAGAGGGCUGAAACAUCGGAGUGAUCAGUAUGUGUCCGGUCUGCUGCGCUGGAAGGGGAUGUUAUCAGAGC